UCGUAACAAGGUCUCCGUUGGUGAACCAGCGGAGGGAUCAUUACCGAGUUUACAACUCCCAAACCCCUGUGAACAUACCAAUUGUUGCCUCGGCGGAUCAGCCCGCUCCCGGUAAAACGGGACGGCCCGCCAGAGGACCCCUAAACUCUGUUUCUAUAUGUAACUUCUGAGUAAAACCAUAAAUAAAUCAAAACUUUCAACAACGGAUCUCUUGGUUCUGGCAUCGAUGAAGAACGCAGCAAAAUGCGAUAAGUAAUGUGAAUUGCAGAAUUCAGUGAAUCAUCGAAUCUUUGAACGCACAUUGCGCCCGCCAGUAUUCUGGCGGGCAUGCCUGUUCGAGCGUCAUUUCAACCCUCAAGCCCCCGGGUUUGGUGUUGGGGAUCGGCGAGCCCUUGCGGCAAGCCGGCCCCGAAAUCUAGUGGCGGUCUCGCUGCAGCUUCCAUUGCGUAGUAGUAAAACCCUCGCAACUGGUACGCGGCGCGGCCAAGCCGUUAAACCCCCAACUUCUGAAUGUUGACCUCGGAUCAGGUAGGAAUACCCGCUGAACCUAAGCAUAU
rnacentral:misc_RNA from 1 species